AUUGAACGCUGGCGGCAGGCCUAACACAUGCAAGUCGAACGAGUGGCGGACGGGUGAGUAAUGUCUGGGAAACUGCCCGAUGGCGGGGGAUAACUACUGGAAACGGUAGCUAAUACCGCAUACCAUCGGAGGUGCCCAGAUGGGAUUAGCUAGUUGGUGGGGUAAAGGCUCACCUAGGCGACGAUCCCUAGCUGGUCUGAGAGGGUGACCAGCCAAACUGGAACGUGAACACGGUCCAGAAUCCUAAGGUGGGACGCAGUGGGGACAAUUGCGCAAUGGGGGCAAGCCUGAUGCCACCAUGCCGCGUGUAUUAGUAAGGCCUUCGGGUUGGAAAGUACUUUCUGCGAGAAGACGUUACUCGCAGAAGAAACAACGGCUAACUCCGUGCCAGCAGCCGCGGUAAUAC
rnacentral:rRNA from 1 species